UACGAAGGGGGGCUAGCGUUGCUCGGAAUUACUGGGCGUAAAGGGCGCGUAGGCGGCGCAGUUAGUCAGGCGUGAAAUUCCUGGGCUCAACCUGGGGACUGCGCUUGAUACGGCUGUGCUAGAGGAUGGAAGAGGCUCGCGGAAUUCCCAGUGUAGAGGUGAAAUUCGUAGAUAUUGGGAAGAACACCGGUGGCGAAGGCGGCGAGCUGGUCCAUUACUGACGCUGAGGCGCGACAGCGUGGGGGAGCAAACAGG
rnacentral:rRNA from 1 species